GCGAGGGGAGUGAAAAAGAACCUGAAACCGUGUACGUACAAGCAGUGGGAGCCCCACCACCAAAGCAUUCUCUGGUGUUGAAGGCCCUGCAAAGCAGCAUCGCGGUGGCGGAGCGUCGUUUGCGACGCCCAACACACAAAACAAGCGGUGAAUGCUUUGGGGUGGGGUGACUGCGUACCUUUUGUAUAAUGGGUCAGCGACUUAUAUUCUGUAGCAAGGU
rnacentral:rRNA from 2 species